UUAAGCUACAAAGAGCGUAGGGUGAAUAGCUAGGCACCAAGAGCCGAAGAAGGACGUGAUAAGCUGCGAAAAGCUUUGGGUAGGAGCAAAUAUCCAUUAAUCCAGAGAUAUCCGAAUGAGGGAACUCACUUAGAGCAAACAAUCUAAGUAUCCAUAUAUGAGUAAAGUAGUAUAUGAGAAGGGAACGUGGGGAACUGAAACAUCUUAGUACCCACAGGAAAAGAAAGAGAAAUCGAUUCCUAGAGUAGUGGCGAGCGAAAUAGGAAGAGCCUAAACCAUGAGUAGUAAUACACAUGGGGUUCGGACCACGAUAUAUUAUCAAUAAUUCUAAUAGAAAUGUUUUGGAAAAGCAUACCAUAGACGGUGAAAGUCCAGUAUAUGAAAGAAAAGUUGAGAUUAGUGGUAUCCAGAGUAGUACGAGACACGAGAAAUCUCGUAUGAAUAAGCGGGGACCAUCCCGUAAGGCUAAAUACUACUUGGUGACCGAUAGUGAACUAGUACCGUGAGGGAAAGGUGAAAAGAACCCCGGGAGGGGAGUGAAAUAGAACAUGAAACCCUAUGUUUACAAGCAGACAAAGCACUUUAUAUGUGCGAUGUCGUACUUUUUGUAGAACGGUCCAGCGAGUUAUUGUGUAUGGCGAGGUUAAGUAUUACGUAAGGUACGGAGCCGAAGCGAAAGCGAGUCUGAAAAGGGCGAUAUAAGUCAUGCAUAAUAGACCCGAAACUGAGUGACCUAUCCAUGAGCAGGAUGAAGCUAGAGUAAAAUCUAGUGGAGGUCCGAACUGAUUGUCGUUAAAAAGGCACCGGAUGACUUGUGGAUAGCGGAGAAAUUCCAAUCGAACUCGGAGAUAGCUGGUUCUCCUCGAAAUAGCUUUAGGGCUAGCCUUGAGGGAAUGCAUAUGGGGGUAGAGCACUGAAUGAGGUAGGGGCCUAACCAGGUUACCAAACUCUAUCAAACUCCGAAUACCAUAUGUAAAUACUCAGGAGUCAGACUGCGGGAGCUAAGUUCCGUGGUCAAAAGGAAAACAGUCCAGAUCGUCAAUUAAGGUCCCAAAGAUAUAGCUAAGUGGAAAACGAUGUGAUUUUGCAUAAACAACCAGGAUGUUGGCUCAGAAGCAGCCAUUCAUUCAAAGAGUGCGUAAUAGCUCACUGGUCGAGUGAAGUUGCGCGGAAAAUUACCGGGGCUAAGCUAUACACCGAAAUUGCGGAUUUACAUUUGAAAGACAAUGUAAGUGGUAGAGGAGCAUUCUGUAGUAGGAAGAAGCAUGACCGUAAGGACAUGUGGACGAAGCAGAAGAGAGAAUGCUGGAAUAAGUAGCGAGAGGAUGGUGAGAAUCCAUCCCGUCGAAAAUCUAAGGUUUCCCAGGGAAGGUUCGUCCGCCUGGGGUAAGUCGGGACCUAAGGAGAGGCCGAAAGGCGUAUCUGAUGGAUAGCAGGUUGAAAUUCCUGCACUACGAAUAUACUUAAAAGAUUCAAGGGACGCAGAAGUGGAAGAUAACCAAGUAAGAGGAAAAGCUUGGCUCGCAAGAGGGAGUGAAAAUUAAAAGUAACGAAGUAUCAAGAAGCACGCUGACGAGAAAAGCUUGAAGAUAUUGUAUAUAAGUACCCGUACCGCAAACCGACACAGGUAGAUGAGGAGAGGAUCCUAAGACGAGCGGGAGAAGCAUUGUUAAGGAACUCGGCAAACUAACCCCGUAACUUCGGAAUAAGGGGUGCUGAUGUAACAGUCAGUCGCAGAGAAAAGGCCCAAGCAACUGUUUAACAAAAACAUAGGUUUCUGCUAAAUCGAAAGAUGAAGUAUAGGAGCUGACGCCUGCCCAGUGCUGGAAGGUUAAGGGAAAGAGUUAGGGUUAAACCGAAGCUUAGAACUGAAGCCCCAGUGAACGGCGGCCGUAACUAUAACGGUCCUAAGGUAGCGAAAUUCCUUGUCAGGUAAGUUCUGACCC
rnacentral:rRNA from 1 species